rnacentral:rRNA from 1 species
AUUGAACGCUGGCGGCAUGCCUUACACAUGCAAGUCGAACGGUAACAGGUCUUCGGAUGCUGACGAGUGGCGAACGGGUGAGUAGUACAUCGGAACGUGCCUAGUAGUGGGGGAUAACUACUCGAAAGAGUGGCUAAUACCGCAUGAGAUCUACGGAUGAAAGCAGGGGAUCGCAAGACCCUGUGCUACUAGAGCGGCCGAUGGCAGAUUAGGUAGUUGGUGGGAUAAAAGCUUACCAAGCCGGCGAUCUGUAGCUGGUCUGAGAGGACGAUCAGCCCCACUGUGACUGAGACACGGCCCAGACUCCUACGGGAGGCAGCAGUGGGGAAUUUUGGACAAUGGGCGCAAGCCUGAUCCAGCAAUGCCGCGUGCAGGAUGAAGGCCUUCGGGUUGUAAACUGCUUUUGUACGGAACGAAAAGCCCUGGGUUAAUACCCUGGGGUCAUGACGGUACCGUAAGAAUAAGCACCGGCUAACUACGUGCCAGCCGCCGCGGUAACAC